UCCUGUAGAAUAGGAUGGAAUAUUUUGAGAAUAUCUGUGAUGCCAACAGAUUUCUUUUGAAGAGCUGGAUUGAGCUGUCAGCCAAAAUACUCUUUUAGGACCACUUGAGUACCUGGGUGAUAAUCUCUCAGUAAAUCAUGAGGAAUAUUUGAGCAUCAAGAGAUAUGCUCUCCAGAUGAUGUUUUCAGGAAACAGUGCAUCUGCUAUGAAACAGAAUGUUUGGAAAUUAGAAAAGACUCAGCAGAGGGAGAAGGUGAAUUUGUACAGGUACUGAUUGCUCUGAGACCCUUUUAAUACACUACAGGUCUUUUAUCACAUUUUGGUUUUACAAAAAGGAGGAAAGAAAAUG
rnacentral:lncRNA from 1 species